ensembl:snRNA U6 U6 spliceosomal RNA
GCGCUCACUUUGGCAGCAUACAUACAAAAAUCGGAGUCAGAAAUGCAGAGAAGAUUAGCAUGGCCCCUGCUCAAAGAUGGCAUGAAAUUUGUGAAGGGUCCCAUGUCUUA